UUUUGUUAUGUGCACUAAUAUGCAGGUCACACAUCACCUCCAUAUUGAUGCACAUAACAAAAUUCAUUCCGCACAUGUGUGGGAAAAGUUAGAGGGAACACUGCUUAUAUCCAGUUGUUAACCUGAAACUCAGAGUAAAUAGGCCAGUUACAAUUCUGGUUUCAGCAGCAGGAUCUUUUCACCCCUCAGGAUCUAUCACCUGGGGUUAGAUAGAAGUUGGUGGGCCUCCCACCUCCUCUUGUGUGCUGUAGUGGACAAAAGAGAUAGAGGACUUUUCCAAAGCAACAACAGAUUUAUUUAAGGGAAGUAACGGGAACGGGAAAAUCAUGAACUAUAACCAAAUAACAAGUGAGUUGUGGUUUAACGGAGGCGAGUAUAAAACUCAGGCCCCAACUAACUCGAACCUUGGCAACAACUGAACAAAAGAAUACCCCAUGAUACUUUACUGUCCUUAGGUUUUCUUAACCAGCAGGAAUGAGGUUAAGAUGCAUUUGUCUUCACACGUAAUUCAUGGACUCAUGGGAUGUGGAAGCUGAAAUAGUGGGACCCGAAGCUGCUGAUGAUCUUGAUCUGAUUGCCUGGUCUGGUGGGCUUGAUCCAAAGAUCUGACACCGCACAAAAAAGACUGCACCUUGACUGUCUCUAUAAAAGACAUCCCCCGAGCUUCGGUUGCUCAGACUAAUUUAAUCUUUUUAAAGACACACACAAUAAAGUUCUAAG